UCAAGCGAAUAAGUGCAUGUGGUGGAUGCCUUGGCGAUCACAGGCGAUGAAGGACGUAGUAGCUUGCGAAAAGCUGCGGGGAGCUGGCAAACGAGCUUUGAUCCGCAGAUGUCCGAAUGGGGAAACCCGGCCCGUAUGGGUCAUCCCUUGCUGAAUACAUAGGCAAGGGAGGCGAACGCAGUGAACUGAAACAUCUAAGUAGCUGCAGGAAAAGAAAUCAACCGAGAUUCCCAAAGUAGUGGCGAGCGAAAUGGGAACAGCCUUGUACUCUUUAGCAGUAUUGUUAGCGGAACGGAAUGGAAAGUCCGGCCAUAGUGGGUGAUAGCCCCGUACGCGAAAACAGUAUUGUGGAACUAGGUGUACGACAAGUAGGGCGGGACACGUGAAAUCCUGUCUGAAGAUGGGGGGACCAUCCUCCAAGGCUAAAUACUCGUGAUCGACCGAUAGUGAACCAGUACCGUGAGGGAAAGGCGAAAAGAACCCCGGGAGGGGAGUGAAAUAGAUCCUGAAACCGCAUGCAUACAAACAGUCGGAGCCUGGAAACGGGUGACGGCGUACCUUUUGUAUAAUGGGUCAGCGACUUACAUUCAGUGGCAAGCUUAACCGAUUAGGGAAGGCGUAGCGAAAGCGAGUCCGAAUAGGGCGUUCAGUCGCUGGGUGUAGACCCGAAACCAAGUGAUCUAUCCAUGGCCAGGUUGAAGGUGCGGUAACACGUACUGGAGGACCGAACCCACUAACGUUGAAAAGUUAGGGGAUGAGCUGUGGAUAGGGGUGAAAGGCUAAACAAACUUGGAAAUAGCUGGUUCUCUCCGAAAACUAUUUAGGUAGUGCCUCGUGUCUCACCUUCGGGGGUAGAGCACUGUCAUGGUUGGGGGGUCUAUUGCUGAUUACCCCGCCAUAGCAAACUCCGAAUACCGAAGAGUGCAAUCACGGGAGACAGACAUCGGGUGCUAACGUCCGGUGUCAAGAGGGAAACAACCCAGACCGCCAGCUAAGGUCCCUAAGAUUGGCUAAGUGGGAAACGAAGUGGGAAGGCUAAAACAGUCAGGAGGUUGGCUUAGAAGCAGCCACCCUUUAAAGAAAGCGUAAUAGCUCACUGAUCGAGUCGUCCUGCGCGGAAGAUGUAACGGGGCUAAGCCAGUCACCGAAGCUGCGGAUGCACGUAAGUGCAUGGUAGGAGAGCGUUCUGUAAGCCUGUGAAGGUGUCUUGUAAAGGAUGCUGGAGGUAUCAGAAGUGCGAAUGCUGACAUGAGUAGCGAUAAAGGGGGUGAAAGGCCCCCUCGCCGUAAGCCCAAGGUUUCCUACGCAACGUUCAUCGGCGUAGGGUGAGUCGGCCCCUAAGGCGAGGCAGAGAUGCGUAGCUGAUGGGAAGCAGGUUAAUAUUCCUGCACCGUCGUAUGAUGCGAUGGGGGGACGGAUCGCGGAAGGUUGUCCGGGUGUUGGAAGUCCCGGUCCCUACAUUGGAGAUGGCACUUAGGCAAAUCCGGGUGCGUGAUUCAAGGGUGUGGGGCGAGCGACGUUAGGUCGCGAAGCAAUUGGAAGUGGUUCCAAGAAAAGCCUCUAAGCUUCAGUCAUACGAGACCGUACCGCAAACCGACACAGGUGGGCGAGAUGAGUAUUCUAAGGCGCUUGAGAGAACUCGGGAGAAGGAACUCGGCAAAUUGGUACCGUAACUUCGGGAUAAGGUACGCCCUUGUAGUUUGACUGGCUCGCGCCAGAAGGAUGAAGGGGUUGCAAUAAAAUGGUGGCUGCGACUGUUUAAUAAAAACACAGCACUCUGCAAACACGAAAGUGGACGUAUAGGGUGUGACGCCUGCCCGGUGCCGGAAGAUUAAAUGAUGGGGUGCAAGCUCUUGAUUGAAGUCCCGGUAAACGGCGGCCGUAACUAUAACGGUCCUAAGGUAGCGAAAUUCCUUGUCGGGUAAGUUCCGACCUGCACGAAUGGCGUAACGAUGGCCACACUGUCUCCUCCCGAGACUCAGCGAAGUUGAAGUGUUUGUGAUGAUGCAAUCUCCCCGCGGCUAGACGGAAAGACCCCAUGAACCUUUACUGUAGCUUUGCAUUGGACUUUGAACCGAUCUGUGUAGGAUAGGUGGGAGGCUUUGAAACCGGGACGCUAGUUUCGGUGGAGCCGACCUUGAAAUACCACCCUGGUUUGUUUGAGGUUCUAACCUUGGCCCGUGAAUCCGGGUCGGGGACAGUGCAUGGUAGGCAGUUUGACUGGGGCGGUCUCCUCCCAAAGUGUAACGGAGGAGUUCGAAGGUACGCUUGGUACGGUCGGACAUCGUACCUAAAGUGCAAUGGCAAAAGCGUGCUUAACUGCGAGACCGACAAGUCGAGCAGGUGCGAAAGCAGGACAUAGUGAUCCGGUGGUUCUGUAUGGAAGGGCCAUCGCUCAACGGAUAAAAGGUACUCUGGGGAUAACAGGCUGAUACCGCCCAAGAGUUCAUAUCGACGGCGGUGUUUGGCACCUCGAUGUCGGCUCAUCUCAUCCUGGGGCUGUAGCCGGUCCCAAGGGUAUGGCUGUUCGCCAUUUAAAGAGGUACGUGAGCUGGGUUUAAAACGUCGUGAGACAGUUUGGUCCCUAUCUGCCGUGGGCGUUGGAAUCUUGACGGGGGCUGCUCCUAGUACGAGAGGACCGGAGUGGACGUACCGCUGGUGUACCUGUUGUCUCGCCAGAGGCAUCGCAGGGUAGCUAUGUACGGAAGAGAUAACCGCUGAAAGCAUCUAAGCGGGAAACUCGCCUGAAGAUGAGGAUUCCCUGGAGACUUGAUCUCCCUGAAGGGUCGUUCGAGACCAGGACGUUGAUAGGCUGGGUGUGGAAGCGCAGUAAUGCGUUCAGCUAACCAGUACUAAUUGCCCGUGCGGCUUGAUCCU
rnacentral:rRNA from 3 species